rnacentral:rRNA from 1 species
UGUACACACCGCCCGUCACACCACGAGAGUUUGUAACACCCGAAGCCGGUGGAGUAACCAUUUUGGAGCUAGCCGUCGAAGGUGGGACAAAUGAUUGGGGUGAAGUCGUAACAAGGUAGCCGUAUCGGAAGGUGCGGCUGGAUCACCUCCUUUCUAAGGA